CCCAUUUCUUGGAUUUUCCGUCUGAUGUUCCUCAAACUUUAGAAGGUCCAAAUUCCCAAACAGUGCUUGAGUUGAGCCAACCACACACUUGUAUUGACAAUAGUGCUACUCAACGUUUGGUUGGUCUUGAGUCCCUUGAGAAAUUACAUGUUCGAUUUUGCAAUUCACUCAAGUCGAUUUCAAUCCCCAAGGGAGACAAGUACCUCACUGCCUUGCGAGGAAUUAGAAAUUUCCUAUUGCGAUAGGUUGACCCACUUGUCCAUCCCCCAGCUAUCUGAGUCAGAGUGGGAUUCCACUUCCUCGCCCUCCCUCUCCGCUACUUCUCCUCCUCCUCUUCUACCUCUCGAGAAAUUGAAAGUAGACUGCUGCCCCGAUCUGAUCUCCUUUCCAAUUGAUUUAACCCGAACACCUUCUCUCUCUUACCCUAGACAUAUCAUAUUGUCCCAAAAUAACGGACUUGCCCAAGGGGAAGCUUUGUUCUCUUACAAGCUUGAGAACCUUAUCGAUUGGACCAUUCUCAGAAACCACAGAGUUGCAUUCCUUCCUAUACCUCUUUGAUGCUCUCCCACCACCGCACCCCUACUUCCCCUCCCUUUCAAAAUUAAUUCUGCGUGGAUGGUCUCAUUGGGAAUCUCUGCCCGAGCAACUUCAGGGCCUCUCUGCCCUAACAACUCUUUUUUUAGAAGGUUUUGGAGUGAAAUCAUUGCCCGAUUGGUUUGGGAAGCUUUCGUCACUUGAACAACUUUGUCUCUUGGAUUGUAAAAAGCUAGAGAAUUUACCCUCUCACCAAUCUAUGAGAAGCCUCACCAGACUAAGAUACCUGGAGAUUGGCGGUGUCCCCUUCUAAAGGAAAGAUGUAAACCAGAGAGCAGCAGUAGCAGCACCACCGAAUCCAAUUCUGAGUGGUCGAAGAUCUCCGGCAUUCCCCAAAUUGUAAUUGAUGAGCAGCAAAUCAGAGGCUAAUCCCCAUUUGAAGCUCAUAAAUAACGUCAGUUUUCCCAAUUAAAGCUACUAGCCUAACUUCUACUCAAUAAUUGAUGCGAACUAUUUUUCCUUCGUCCUGUGCGCUUUUGCUUUCUAGGCGGUUUUGAGUCUAGCUUGAGAGUCUACUCUCAGAUUGAUAAAUUGUGGAAGAAUAUAUGAGGCUGACAACGACAGAUCAUUCUGGCUAGCUGCGGGGAUUCUCAUGCAUGAGGUUAAAUAACAGAGCUAUGGAUGAGCAAUACAUGGGAAAGCCACUGGUCGGAUUUUUAAGUUGUGAUGACAACUGCUGCAAAUGAGGCUUGUCAGCCCUUUUAAAGAAACAUAACCUAGUCGAAUUGAGAAGCUUUCGUCUGUUGAAGGGUUCUAAGUUGGCAAAUGCAAAAAGCUUGAGUGGUAAUCCUUCCACCAAUCCACCAGAAGGCUUGAGUGGAUAUAGGAUGCGUAUCUUUUGAUUUAUAGGGAAGAUGAUGUCACAAGGGGAGCUGCCCCAACAGUGAGUGAUGCAAGAGCUAUGAGAUUUUCUACUUUGAUCAUAUUCUAAUUGGAUGCUAAGUUGUCACAAUCUGCUUAAAUUCUAAGAAAACUGAAGUCUACACUGAGUGUGUUAAUGAUUUAGUCAAUUCUGUGUAUUCUAUAAUAUGCUAUCUUCAGUUCUGUAUAUUCAGUCUCAUGAUGCUAUACAAUCUUUUGGCAUUUUGCUUGACAGACCCUUGUUGCUAUACGUGAAAGUGAAUUGAGUAUUAGAACA